rnacentral:rRNA from 1 species
GACAGAGGUGCCGAGCGUUAGGCGGAAUCACUGGGCUUAAAGCGUGUGUAGGCGGGCCGUUAAGUGCCCCGUGAAAUCCCCCGGCUCAACCGGGGAACGGCGGGGCAUACUGGCGGCCUUGAGCCACUUAAGGGCAGACGGAACAAGCGGUGGAGCGGUGAAAUGCGUAGAUAUCUGGAGGAACACCGGUGGCGAAGGCGGCAUCCUGGACCGGUAUUGACGCUGAUGCGCGAAAGCCAGGGGAGCAAACGGG